rnacentral:rRNA from 1 species
UACGGAGGGUGCAAGCGUUUAUCCGGAUUCACUGGGUUUAAAGGGAGCGUAGGUGGCUUUGUAAGUCAGUGGUGAAAUCUUAGAGCUUAACUCUAAAACUGCCAUUGAUACUGCUUAGCUUGAAUCACGUCGAGGUGGAUGGAAUAUUACAUGUAGCGGUGAAAUGCUUAGAUAUGUAAUAGAACACCGAUUGCGAAGGCAGUUCACUAGGCGUGUAUUGACACUGAGGCUCGAAAGCGUGGGGAUCAAACAGG